AUGCCGCUCCUCUCGAUCCCCUCGAGGACACGCCGCCGCCGUCCUCUCCGAGAAGACGCCGCCAGACCUCCUCGACUAAACGCCGCCGCCGAACCCCACGGACCUCCGCCGCUGCCGAUCUGUGGGAGGCCGCCGCACAACCCCACGCACGCCUCCGCCUCCGCCGAUCCUAGGGAGGGUGCCGCCGAUCUCAGUAAGGCCGCCGCGGAUCAGGUCCGCCUACACCCUAAACCCUUCGUCCAUCUCUCUAUCGGUUUAUUAUGUUGA
rnacentral:rRNA from 1 species